AAUCAACGCUGGCGGCGUGCCUCAGACAUGCAAGUCGAACGAUUAAAGCUCUCUUCGGAGAGUGUAUAGAGUGGCGCACGGGGUGAGUAACACGUAAGUAAUCUACCUUUGAGUGGGGAAUAACAGUCGGAAACGACUGCUAAUACCGCAUAAUGCAGCGGCACCGCAAAGGUGACAGUUGUUAAAGGAGCAAUUCGCUUAAAAGAGGAGCUUGCGGCAGAUAGCUUGUUGGUAAGGUAACGGCUUACCAAGGCUACGAUCUGUAUCCGGUCUUAGAGGACGGUCGGACACACUGACACUGAAUAACGGGUCAGACUCCUACGGGAGGCAGC
rnacentral:rRNA from 1 species